rnacentral:rRNA from 1 species
CAAUAGCGUAUAUUAAAGUUGUUGCAGUUAAAAAGCUCGUAGUUGGAUUUCUGGUGGGAGCGAUCGGUCUGGCGCUUAGCGCGAGUACUUGCAUCGUCUCCGGCCAUCCUUGGGGAGAGUCUGUCUGGCAUUAAGUUGUCGGGCAGAGGAUCCUCAUCGUCUACUGUGAAAAAAUUAAAGUGUUCAAAGCAGGCUUAUGCCGUUGAAUAUAUUAGCAUGGAAUAAUAAGAUAGGACUUUGGUACUAUUUUGUUGGUUUGCGCACCAAAGUAAUGAUUAAUAGGGACAGUUGGGGGUAUUCGUAUUCCGUUGUCAGAGGUGAAAUUCUUGGAUUUACGGAAGACGAACUACUGCGAAAGCAUUUACCAAGGAUGUUUUCAUUAA